rnacentral:rRNA from 1 species
GACGAACGCUGGCGGCGUGCUUAACACAUGCAAGUCGAACGGAAAGGCCCUGCUUUUGUGGGGUGCUCGAGUGGCGAACGGGUGAGUAACACGUGAGUAACCUGCCCUGGACUUUGGGAUAACUUCAGGAAACUGGGGCUAAUACCGGAUAGGAGCUCCUGCUGCAUGGUGGGGGUUGGAAAGUUUCGGCGGUUGGGGAUGGACUCGCGGCUUAUCAGCUUGUUGGUGGGGUAGUGGCUUACCAAGGCUUUGACGGGUAGCCGGCCUGAGAGGGUGACCGGCGACAUGGGGACUGAGAUACGGCGCAGACUCCUACGGGAGGCAGCAGUGGGGAAUAUUGCACAAUGGGCGGAAGCCUGAUGCAGCAACGCCGCGUGCGGGAUGACGGCCUUCGGGUUGUAAACCGCUUUCGCCUGUGACGAAGCGUGAGUGACGGUAAUGGGUAAAGAAGCACCGGCUAACUACGUG